rfam:Oryza nivara chromosome 11, whole genome shotgun sequence.
UUUAAGUGCAACUAUAAGUUUCCGUGCCCAAUUUUGAUCGUUCGUCUUAUUUAAUUUUUUUUAUAAUUAGUAUUUUUAUUGCUAUGAGAUGAUAAAACAUGAAUAGUAAUUUAUAUGUGACUUUUGUUUUUAAAUUUUUUUAAAAAAUUUUCAAAUAAUACGGAUAGUCAAAAAGUCGUGCGUGGAAAAUCAUAUCUGCACUUAAA